ensembl:lncRNA
AGAGACAUUCCACGACCUCCGUCUCACUUAUCACCAGUGAUCAGGAGAAGGUCCGGCUUUUAUUUUGCAGGUCAGUCUGAUAAUUUAAGUGUAAGUGUGUGUGUGUGUUUGUGUUGUUGCAUGUCAUCAUCCUGCCGCAAUGAAAGGAGUGGUUCCCUCGGCAACGAGCCCCGACAACAUCAUAACAGUGCUGAUGAAAAAGGAGUGGCAGUGAGAAUCAGAGGUGCGCUGACCUUUCAUCGCGCGGUGAGAACCGCCGUAGGCGAGGAAAACGGGCCGGCUCGUUGCGUGGUUCUCGCACAUCGCUGCCGGGCAUCUUUCUCUCCAACGAGCUUCACUGUGCAACAAACUGGAUGAACUUCAGCUGCUGGUUUCUUCUCCUACCGCAGCGUCGCUCUCACGUCUUUUCAAGUGUCGGGACCAUCGGGAAUCGUGUGCUGUGACUCAGCUAAGCGAGAUGACUUAAGGUAUUCCCAAAAAUCCCCAGAUGCCGAGCCAAGAAGCUCCAUUGGAAUGAAUGGAAUGGGUUUUUGGGCAGGUGAGAGGACCAUGAGGGCCUUUGUGGCCGGCCAGCAACUUACCUGCUUGGCCGACUCAUGUUUAGGCCUCACUCUUAAAACCUCUGUGGAAUUUUCUAGUUUUUGAUUUUAUUGUCUUUUUAUCCUUUAUUUUUAUUCCUAUAGCCUUCUAUUUUAUUUUAGUAACAUUGUAAAUUUGUAAAUUGACAUGCCAUGUUAUUUGUUUUGUUGUCUAUUGUCUUACUGUCCGUUUGGCACAAACCGCCAUGUCAAAUUCUUUGUAUGUUUAACAUAUUUUGGCAAUAAAUGUUCUUGAUUCCUGAUAUUGCUGGACGCAGACUAACUCACAUUUCACCUGCCAUGACAUCACUUCCUGUCCCACAUCUGUUCCAACAGUCAAUGAACUCAACUUCUCAAAAGUGUCAAUAAAAAUAGGACAGGGCCCUGUGACCAGGGGUCAUGUGACUCACCACGACAAAUGACCAUCUGGUCUCUGGAGACACUCCCACCCAUAACAACGUGCUCCCUAGAGACACGCCCCCAAUUAUCAUUUUGAAAAAACGUGGUUGGUUGUAGUAUGUAAGUGCUGCUUGUGUAGCAUCCACGAGGG